rnacentral:misc_RNA from 1 species
GAAAUGCGAUAAGUAGUGUGAAUUGCAGAAUUCAGUGAAUCAUCGAAUCUUUGAACGCACAUUGCGCCCCUUGGUAUUCCAUGGGGCAUGCCUGUUCGAGCGUCAUUUGUACCCUCAAGCUCUGCUUGGUGUUGGGUGUUUGUCCCGUCUCCGCGCGUGGACUCGCCCCAAAGUGAUUGGCAGCCGGCGUACUGGUCCCGGAGCGCAGCACAUGUCGCGCAAACGAGUGCCUUGGUACGGCGGCGUCCAUAAGCCCCUCUCUCACGCUCUUGACCUCGGAUCAAGUAGGGAUACCCGCUGAACUUAAGC